rnacentral:lncRNA from 1 species
CGCCGCCAUCUUGGGCCUGUCUGGUGGGGUUCGGCUUCUCGCUAGGUUUCUGACCUUCCCCACAGCGGUCCGUGGCCUCCUCCUUGCUGGCCUCUGGGCGUCCCGUUAGAGCCUCAGUAACUACCCACCCUGACCCAAGGACCACCGGGGGGGCAUGUGGGGAGGCCGCCUUGAUGACCCUCCUUCCCCGAGAUGUGAGCCAGUGGUUGGGUACCUACCCCUUUCUUUCAGGCACUAACUCCAGUUCCGCUCAAGUACACCAAUGCGAAAUACAAGAGGCUUCACUUUACAGAAGCUCAUCUGAUAAGGGGUUGGGUUAAAAAGUCAGCAGGGCCUGGGCAUUUGAAACAGUACCCAGAGGAGACUGGAUAUCCUGAAGUCAAACUUCUCGAAUUCCACAAAUUGGCCUCAGGUGGAGGACUCUGCUGUGAGAGAUGGGAGUCCCAGAUAAGGGGUCACACCAGCAAAACCUACCUGCCAACCAGAAGCAAAUGACAAUGAAGUGAGCAAGACAUUGGUUACUGUUGAAUUAAGUCCCUGACAUUUUGGAAUAUCAUUGUUACAGUACCUAGCAAUAGUCUAAGCAAUAUAUAUGCCAUCCGUGUUCUGGAAUAUGGAGACAUAGCAACCGGUCUUCAGGGAGGCAAUGUUUGCAAAUGUUUCCUCACUUUCCC